rnacentral:rRNA from 1 species
UACGGAGGGUGCAAGCGUUAAUCGGAAUUAGUGGGCGUAAAGCGCACGCAGGUGGCUGAGUCAGUCGAUUGUGAAAGCCCUGGGCUUAACCUGGGAAUUGCAGUCGAUACUACUCGGCUCGAGUAUGGGAGAGGGCAGUGGAAUUCCCGGUGUAGCGGUGAAAUGCGUAGAUAUCGGGAGGAACAUCAGUGGCGAAGGCGGCUGCCUGGCCCAAUACUGACACUCAGGUGCGACAGCGUGGGGAGCAAACAGG